rnacentral:rRNA from 1 species
GACGAACGCUGGCGGCGUGCUUAACACAUGCAAGUCGAACGGAAAGGCCCUGCUUUUGUGGGGUGCUCGAGCGGCGAACGGGUGAGUAACACGUGAGUAACCUGCCCUUGACUUUGGCAUAACUUCAGGAAACUGGGGCUAAUACCGGAUAGGAGCUCCUGCUGCAUGGUGGGGGUUGGAAAGUUUCGGCGGUUGGGGAUGGACUCGCGGCUUAUCAGCUUGUUGGUGGGGUAGUGGCUUACCAAGGCUUUGACGGGUAGCCGGCCUGAGAGGGUGACCGGCCACAUUGGGACUGAGAUACGGCCCAGACUCCUACGGGAGGCAGCAGUGGGGAAUAUUGCACAAUGGGCGGAAGCCUGAUGCAGCAACGCCGCGUGCGGGAUGACGGCCUUCGGGUUGUAAACCGCUUUCGCCUGUGACGAAGCGUGAGUGACGGUAAUGGGUAAAGAAGCACCGGCUAACUACGUG